AUGUACUUCAACACAUGGAUUCACCUUAACCUAUUCUUCUGUUGUCAUUUGUCUCCAUAUAUUGACAGACUGCCAGGCCAUCUCUACUGCUCCCCCAGGCUAAGACCAUCUCUUCCCUCACCAAGGCACGUGGGUUCCCUGACAGGGGGUGAAAGAAAGAUAUAGGUUAGUGAUGCAGGAGUAGCCUCCAGAAAUCUUCCUCUAGCAACAGAAUCAGCACUGACCCAAGUACAACUAUAACCCAGUGAAAUUCCUGCUGAGUGCCUUUCUCUGAUGGAGAUGGACAGCUUGUGAGGGGACCCAAUUUGGCUCAGAAGCACCCCCAGAUGAAAAAGUGAGAGAUAUUUCUCUAUUGUCAUGAUUCUCUGUGAGUCAGCAUACAGGAUUCUGUUGGGGAAGCCCUUUCUGCAGAUCCUGAUGCCUUCCAGCACACCGUUACAGCGCAGCUGGUGCAUGACCAGAGGAUUCUCCAUGGCCCCAGGAGUCUUGGUCUCGUUGGGGAUGAUGCAACGCACAAAGUGGGGGUCCAGCCUCUUGCAUUGGGUGAAUUCCUGUCUGGGACAGCAAGCAUGACCACACACAAGAGAGAUGCUGAUUCCUUUUUCUUUUAAGUUCCUUCUUCCCUCAACAUCUGCACAUCAGCCCCAACCAGGAGGCUCCAACCAAAAAAUUAUUAAAAAUGUGGGCCCAGUGUACACUUGUAGAUCACCUUCAAUGUAGUCUCAGGAUAGUGUUUUCUUUCCACAGGGACCACAGAAGCAUCUGAGCAGGAUAAUAUAACAGGUAAUGUAUCGUUAUUCUGAAAGGUAUAUUUUACCUCACUUCAAAAAUAUUAAGAAGGAAUACAAUCUGAUACUUUUAAUAUAACACUACUACUCACAACCAUUUUAUGGCCAAUUCACUAUUCUAGGUCAUUCUUGGAGUUGCCCCAACCUCCAGUCAAUAACUGUGUAGAACAUUUGCAUUGUGUAGAAUUUUGCAUUGUAUGGACUUCUUGCUUUAUUUGACAAAGAACAACAUUUAGUCUCUAGUGUAGCAUUGCUAAGCAAGUGCACCUCUUGUUCUGAAUGUACACUGCCUUCACUAUUAUUAUUAUGAUUAUUGAGUUCUCUAACUGGUUAGCAUUACUCAAAUUGAUUUCAAUAGAAUAUUGUCAUAGAAUAAUGUUGUCAUAUGUAUUCAAAGCUGUUAACAAGACACUGUUUGAAUACAGUGGUCUAAAAUGUAAGUACACUUCGGAUGAUGCAGAUAUGGAGGCUAAAUUGUAAUGACACGAAAAGGGUUACUGUUCAAGACAAUGUAUAGAUACGGUCACACCUUUACCAUUGUUGAUGGCAAGAAUACAAAUUUCCCUCCCUCAUAUUCAUAGUGUCAUCUUUGUUUGGUAUAUAAAAUUGGUAAAUAACCCAAUUCAAUUUGAGACACACUGUAACUAUUACUCACAAUGUUAUCAAAACUUAAGCGAGGUGUUAAAUGUUUGUCUUUUACUAUGAUACCAUUUGACGUAUGUUAUCUGUAUUUUUUUUAAAUUAAAAUCAGUGUUUUUUUAUAUAAUUGUGUUAAAUAAUAGUGCAUUUUAUUCUUCCAAAAUGUCUAGAAAUCCUAUUCAUAAUGGCAUCAACACCAACCUUGAUAUACCUUUGGCACAAAAGGUAACAUUUUACAAGCAAUAUACAGAGAUGCAAUUUAAAUGUACUUUAUUAUUUAUUCUGCUCAGUAACAUUUAGAAAAAUUAAAUAAAUAAAGUCAAGAGAUUUUCAGAGAAAUCCA